rnacentral:tRNA from 1 species
GGGGGUAUGGCGCAGCUGGUAGCGCACUUGCAUGGCAUGCAAGGGGUCACGGGUUCGAGUCCCGUUACCUCCA